rnacentral:rRNA from 1 species
UUAAGCGACUAAGCGUACACGGUGGAUGCCCUGGCAGUCAGAGGCGAUGAAGGACGUGCUAAUCUGCGAUAAGCGUCGGUGAGGUGAUAUGAACCGUUAUAACCGGCGAUUUCCGAAUGGGGAAACCCAGUGUGAUUCGUCACACUAUCAUUAACUGAAUCCAUAGGUUAAUGAGGCGAACCGGGGGAACUGAAACAUCUAAGUACCCCGAGGAAAAGAAAUCAACCGAGAUUCCCCCAGUAGCGGCGAGCGAACGGGGAGGAGCCCAGAGCCUGAAUCAGUGUGUGUGUUAGUGGAAGCGUCUGGAAAGGCGUGCGAUACAGGGUGACAGCCCCGUACACAAAAAUGCACAUAUUGUGAGCUCGAUGAGUAGGGCGGGACACGUGGUAUCCUGUCUGAAUAUGGGGGGACCAUCCUCCAAGGCUAAAUACUCCUGACUGACCGAUAGUGAACCAGUACCGUGAGGGAAAGGCGAAAAGAACCCCGGCGAGGGGAGUGAAAAAGAACCUGAAACCGUGUACGUACAAGCAGUGGGAGCCUCUUAAUGGGGUGACUGCGUACCUUUUGUAUAAUGGGUCAGCGACUUAUAUUCUGUAGCAAGGUUAACCGAAUAGGGGAGCCGAAGGGAAACCGAGUCUUAACUGGGCGUUAAGUUGCAGGGUAUAGACCCGAAACCCGGUGAUCUAGCCAUGGGCAGGUUGAAGGUUGGGUAACACUAACUGGAGGACCGAACCGACUAAUGUUGAAAAAUUAGCGGAUGACUUGUGGCUGGGGGUGAAAGGCCAAUCAAACCGGGAGAUAGCUGGUUCUCCCCGAAAGCUAUUUAGGUAGCGCCUCGUGAAUUCAUCUCCGGGGGUAGAGCACUGUUUCGGCAAGGGGGUCAUCCCGACUUACCAACCCGAUGCAAACUGCGAAUACCGGAGAAUGUUAUCACGGGAGACACACGGCGGGUGCUAACGUCCGUCGUGAAGAGGGAAACAACCCAGACCGCCAGCUAAGGUCCCAAAGUCAUGGUUAAGUGGGAAACGAUGUGGGAAGGCCCAGACAGCCAGGAUGUUGGCUUAGAAGCAGCCAUCAUUUAAAGAAAGCGUAAUAGCUCACUGGUCGAGUCGGCCUGCGCGGAAGAUGUAACGGGGCUAAACCAUGCACCGAAGCUGCGGCAGCGACACUAUGUGUUGUUGGGUAGGGGAGCGUUCUGUAAGCCUGUGAAGGUGGCCUGUGAGGGUUGCUGGAGGUAUCAGAAGUGCGAAUGCUGACAUAAGUAACGAUAAAGCGGGUGAAAAGCCCGCUCGCCGGAAGACCAAGGGUUCCUGUCCAACGUUAAUCGGGGCAGGGUGAGUCGACCCCUAAGGCGAGGCCGAAAGGCGUAGUCGAUGGGAAACAGGUUAAUAUUCCUGUACUUGGUGUUACUGCGAAGGGGGGACGGAGAAGGCUAUGUUGGCCGGGCGACGGUUGUCCCGGUUUAAGCGUGUAGGCUGGUUUUCCAGGCAAAUCCGGAAAACCAAGGCUGAGGCGUGAUGACGAGGCACUACGGUGCUGAAGUGACAAAUGCCCUGCUUCCAGGAAAAGCCUCUAAGCAUCAGGUAACAUCAAAUCGUACCCCAAACCGACACAGGUGGUCAGGUAGAGAAUACCAAGGCGCUUGAGAGAACUCGGGUGAAGGAACUAGGCAAAAUGGUGCCGUAACUUCGGGAGAAGGCACGCUGAUAUGUAGGUGAAGCGACUUGCUCGUGGAGCUGAAAUCAGUCGAAGAUACCAGCUGGCUGCAACUGUUUAUUAAAAACACAGCACUGUGCAAACACGAAAGUGGACGUAUACGGUGUGACGCCUGCCCGGUGCCGGAAGGUUAAUUGAUGGGGUUAGCGGCAACGCGAAGCUCUUGAUCGAAGCCCCGGUAAACGGCGGCCGUAACUAUAACGGUCCUAAGGUAGCGAAAUUCCUUGUCGGGUAAGUUCCGACCUGCACGAAUGGCGUAAUGAUGGCCAGGCUGUCUCCACCCGAGACUCAGUGAAAUUGAACUCGCUGUGAAGAUGCAGUGUACCCGCGGCAAGACGGAAAGACCCCGUGAACCUUUACUAUAGCUUGACACUGAACAUUGAGCCUUGAUGUGUAGGAUAGGUGGGAGGCUUUGAAGUGUGGACGCCAGUCUGCAUGGAGCCGACCUUGAAAUACCACCCUUUAAUGUUUGAUGUUCUAACGUUGGCCCGUAAUCCGGGUUGCGGACAGUGUCUGGUGGGUAGUUUGACUGGGGCGGUCUCCUCCUAAAGAGUAACGGAGGAGCACGAAGGUUGGCUAAUCCUGGUCGGACAUCAGGAGGUUAGUGCAAUGGCAUAAGCCAGCUUGACUGCGAGCGUGACGGCGCGAGCAGGUGCGAAAGCAGGUCAUAGUGAUCCGGUGGUUCUGAAUGGAAGGGCCAUCGCUCAACGGAUAAAAGGUACUCCGGGGAUAACAGGCUGAUACCGCCCAAGAGUUCAUAUCGACGGCGGUGUUUGGCACCUCGAUGUCGGCUCAUCACAUCCUGGGGCUGAAGUAGGUCCCAAGGGUAUGGCUGUUCGCCAUUUAAAGUGGUACGCGAGCUGGGUUUAGAACGUCGUGAGACAGUUCGGUCCCUAUCUGCCGUGGGCGCUGGAGAACUGAGGGGGGCUGCUCCUAGUACGAGAGGACCGGAGUGGACGCAUCACUGGUGUUCGGGUUGUCAUGCCAAUGGCACUGCCCGGUAGCUAAAUGCGGAAGAGAUAAGUGCUGAAAGCAUCUAAGCACGAAACUUGCCCCGAGAUGAGUUCUCCCUGACCCUUUAAGGGUCCUGAAGGAACGUUGAAGACGACGACGUUGAUAGGCCGGGUGUGUAAGCGCAGCGAUGCGUUGAGCUAACCGGUACUAAUGAACCGUGAGGCUUAACCUU